rnacentral:rRNA from 1 species
AACGAACGCUGGCGGCAUGCCUAACACAUGCAAGUCGAACGAAGUCUUCGGACUUAGUGGCGCACGGGUGAGUAACGCGUGGGAACCUGCCCUUCGGUACGGAAUAACGUCGGGAAACUGACGCUAAUACCGUAUAUGUCUCUGGAUGAAAGAUUUAUCGCCGGAGGAGGGGCCCGCGUCUGAUUAGCUAGUUGGUGAGGUAAUGGCUCACCAAGGCGACGAUCAGUAGCUGGUCUGAGAGGAUGAUCAGCCACACUGGGACUGAGACACGGCCCAGACUCCUACGGGAGGCAGCAGUGGGGAAUAUUGGACAAUGGGGGCAACCCUGAUCCAGCAAUGCCGCGUGAGUGACGAAGGCCUUCGGGUUGUAAAGCUCUUUUGGCAGGGACGAUGAUGACGGUACCUGCAGAAUAAGCCCCGGCUAACUUCGUGCCAGCCGCCGCAGUAAAAC